AUUGAACGCUGGCGGCAGGCCUAACACAUGCAAGUCGAGCGGAUGAAGAGAGCUUGCUCUCUGAUUUAGCGGCGGACGGGUGAGUAAUGCCUAGGAAUCUGCCUGGUAGUGGGGGAUAACGUUCCGAAAGGAACGCUAAUACCGCAUACGUCCUACGGGAGAAAGCAGGGGACCUUCGGGCCUUGCGCUAUCAGAUGAGCCUAGGUCGGAUUAGCUAGUUGGUGAGGUAAUGGCUCACCAAGGCUACGAUCCGUAACUGGUCUGAGAGGAUGAUCAGUCACACUGGAACUGAGACACGGUCCAGACUCCUACGGGAGGCAGCAGUGGGGAAUAUUGGACAAUGGGCGAAAGCCUGAUCCAGCCAUGCCGCGUGUGUGAAGAAGGUCUUCGGAUUGUAAAGCACUUUAAGUUGGGAGGAAGGGCAGUAAGUUACUACCUUGCUGUUUUGACGUUACCGACAGAAUAAGCACCGGCUAACUUCGUGCCAGCAGCCGCGGUAAUAC
rnacentral:rRNA from 1 species